rnacentral:rRNA from 1 species
CCUACGGGAGGCAGCAGUGAGGAAUAUUGGUCAAUGGACGCAAGUCUGAACCAGCCAUGCCGCGUGAAGGACGAAGGCUCCAAGAGUUGUAAACUGCUUUUGUCCGAGGAUAAACGCAGGUUCGCGAAUCUGUCUGAGAGUAUCGUAAGAAUAAGGAUCGGCUAACUCCGUGCCAGCAGCCGCGGUAAUACGGAGGAUUCGAGCGUUAUCCGGAUUUAUUGGGUUUAAAGGGUGCGUAGGCGGACGGUUAAGUUAGAGGGUAAAUCCCGGGGCUCAACUCCGGAAUUGCCUUUGAUACUGUUCGGCUAGAGAGGAGGAGCGGUAUGCGGAAUGUGCGGUGUAGCGGUGAAAUGCUUAGAGAU